GGGAGUGUAGCUUGGUGGUAGAGCACUUGUCUAGCAUGUGACAGGAGGCCCUGGGUUCAAUCCCCAGCACCA
rnacentral:tRNA from 1 species